UUCCCCUAGUAACUGCGAGUGAAGCGGGAAAAGCUCAAAUUUAAAAUCUGGUAGUCUUUGGCUGCCCGAGUUGUAAUCUAGAGAAGUAUUGUCCGCGCUGGACCGUGUAUAAGUCUCCUGGAAUGGGGCAUCAUAGAGGGUGAGAAUCCCGUCUUUGACACGGACUACCAGGGCUUUGUGAUGUGCUCUCAAAGAGUCGAGUUGUUUGGGAAUGCAGCUCUAAAUGGGUGGUAAAUUCCAUCUAAAGCUAAACAUUGGCAAGAGACCGAUAGCGAACAAGUACCGUGAGGGAAAGAUGAAAAGAACUUUGGAAAGAGAGUUAAACAGUACGUGAAAUUGUUGAAAGGGAAACAUUUGAAGUCAGUCGCGUUGUCCAGGGAUCAACCUUGCUUAUGCUUGGUGCAUUUCCUGGUUUAACGGGUCAGCAUCAAUUUUGAUCAAUGGAAAACGGUCAAAGGAAUGUAGCAUCUUCGGAUGUGUUAUAGCCUUUGGUCGAAUACAUUGGUUGGGAUUGAGGAACUCAGCAUGCCGCAAGGCCGGGUUUUUAACCACGUUCAUGCUUAGGAUGCUGGCAUAAUGGCUUUAAUUGACCCGUCUUGAAACACGGACCAAGGAGUCUAACAUACCUGCGAGUGUUUGGGUGGUAAAACCCAAGCGCGUAAUGAAAGUGAAAGUUGGGAUCCCUAUCGUGGGGAGCACCAACGCCCGGACCAGACCUUCUGUGACGGAUCCGCGGUAGAG
rnacentral:rRNA from 2 species